GGGCGAGUAGUCCGUAACAGGUAGCGGGCCAGACUGUAAAUCUGGUGUCUUUCGGCUCAGGGGGUUCGAGUCCCUCGUCGCCUACCA
rnacentral:tRNA from 1 species